UACAGAGGGUGCAAGCGUUAAUCGGAAUUACUGGGCGUAAAGCGCACGUAGGUGGCUGGGUAAGUCUGAUGUGAAAUCUCACAGCUUAACUGUGAAACUGCAUUGGAUACUAUCCGGCUCGAGGAAUGGAGGGGAGACUGGAAUACUUGGUGUAGCAGUGAAAUGCGUAGAUAUCAAGUGGAACACCAGUGGCGAAGGCGAGUCUCUGGACAUUUCCUGACGCUGAGGCACGAAAGCCAGGGGAGCAAACGGG
rnacentral:rRNA from 1 species